AGUUAAUUGUGAAAUCCCAAAGCUUAACUUUGGAACUGCAAUUAAAACUGCUCGACUAGAGUUUGAUAGAGGAAAGCGGAAUACAUAGUGUAGAGGUGAAAUUCGUAGAUAUUAUGUAGAACACCAGUUGCGAAGGCGGCUUUCUGGAUCAACACUGACGCUGAGGCGCGAAAGUAUGGGUAGCAAAGAGGAUUAGAUACCCUCGUAGUCCAUACCAUAAACGAUGAUUGCUAGAUGUUGGAAAUUUAUUUUCAGUAUCGCAGCUAACGCAUUAAGCAAUCCGCCUGGGGAGUACGACCGCAAGGUUAAAACUCAAAUGAAUUGACGGGGACCCGCACAAGCGGUGGAGCAUGUGGUUUAAUUCGAAGAUACGCGCAGAACCUUACCAACCCUUGACAUGUCUGUCGCGAGUUUAGGAAACUAGACUUUUCGGUUCGGCCGGACAGAACACAGGUGCUGCAUGGCUGUCGUCAGCUCGUGUCGUGAGAUGUUGGGUUAAGUCCCGCAACGAGCGCAACCCCUACUUUUAGUUGCCAUCAGGUCAUGCUGGGCACUCUGAAAGAACUGCCAGUGAUAAGCUGGAGGAAGGUGGGGAUGACGUCAAGUCCUCAUGGCCCUUACGGGUUGGGCUACACACGUGCUACAAUGGUAGUGACAAUGAGAUGCAAAGUGGCGACGCUAAGCUAAACUC
rnacentral:rRNA from 1 species